GGUUUAAUUCGAUGAUACGCGAGGAACCUUACCAGGGCUCGAACGCACGACGACAGGGGCGGAAACGUCCUCUUCUUCGGACGGCGUGCGAGGUGCUGCAUGGCUGUCGUCAGCUCGUGCCGUGAGGUGUCGGGUUAAGUCCCAUAACGAGCGCAACCCCCAUCUCUAGUUGCCAGCGGGUAAUGCCGGGGACUCUAGAGAAACUGCCCGUGUAAACGGUGA
rnacentral:rRNA from 1 species